AGUGAACGCUGGCGGUAGGCCUAACACAUGCAAGUCGAACGGCAGCACAGUAAGAGCUUGCUCUUACGGGUGGCGAGUGGCGGACGGGUGAGGAAUACAUCGGAAUCUACUUUUUCGUGGGGGAUAACGUAGGGAAACUUACGCUAAUACCGCAUACGACCUACGGGUGAAAGCAGGGGAUCUUCGGACCUUGCGCGAUUGAAUGAGCCGAUGUCGGAUUAGCUAGUUGGCGGGGUAAAGGCCCACCAAGGCGACGAUCCGUAGCUGGUCUGAGAGGAUGAUCAGCCACACUGGAACUGAGACACGGUCCAGACUCCUACGGGAGGCGGCAGUGGGGAAUAUUGGACAAUGGGCGAAAGCCUGAUCCAGCCAUACCGCGUGGGUGAAGAAGGCCUUCGGGUUGUAAAGCCCUUUUGUUGGGAAAGAAAAGCAGCAGGUUAAUACCCCGCUGUUCUGACGGUACCCAAAGAAUAAGCACCGGCUAACUUCGUG
rnacentral:rRNA from 1 species